UACGUAGGUGGCAAGCGUUGUCCGGAUUUAUUGGGUUUAAAGGGUGCGUAGGCGGCAUUUUAAGUCAGUGGUGAAAUACUUCAGCUUAACUGGAGAGGUGCCAUUGAUACUGGGAUGCUUGAGUACUGAUGAGGUAGGCGGAAUGGACGGUGUAGCGGUGAAAUGCUUAGAGAUCCGGAAGAACACCAGUGGCGAAGGCGGUCUGCUGGGCAGUUGCUGACACUGAGGCGCGACAGCGUGGGGAGCAAACAGG
rnacentral:rRNA from 1 species